rnacentral:rRNA from 1 species
AUUGAACGCUGGCGGCAGGCUUAACACAUGCAAGUCGAGCGGGGUGAUGGUGCUUGCACUAUCACUUAGCGGCGGACGGGUGAGUAAUGCUUAGGAAUCUGCCUAUUAGUGGACAACAUCUCGAAAGGGAUGCUAAUACCGCAUACGUCCUACGGGAGAAAGCAGGGGAUCACUUGUGACCUUGCGCUAAUAGAUGAGCCUAAGUCGGAUUAGCUAGUUGGUGGGGUAAAGGCCUACCAAGGCGACGAUCUGUAGCGGGUCUGAGAGGAUGAUCCGCCACACUGGGACUGAGACACGGCCCAGACUCCUACGGGAGGCAGCAGUGGGGAAUAUUGGACAAUGGGGGGAACCCUGAUCCAGCCAUGCCGCGUGUGUGAAGAAGGCCUUAUGGUUGUAAAGCACUUUAAGCGAGGAGGAGGCUCUUUUGGUUAAUACCCAAGAUGAGUGGACGUUACUCGCAGAAUAAGCACCGGCUAACUCUAUGCCAGCCGCCGCAGUAA